rnacentral:lncRNA from 1 species
AUGACCAGUUCUAAUGAGCUCAAGCUGACCCAGCCACCCGAGGUUGUCAUUUCCUCAGUGAAGUUCAGCCCCAACACCUCCCAGUUCCUGCUUGUCUCCUCCUGGACAGGUCACUGCUCUUCUACAAUGUGCAGAACAUGUGCUUAGGUAAUAGCGCUUGCUCUCAGGUCCAUGCGCUCAGGUACCAGCACACUGGCACCAUCCUGGACUGAGCCUUCUACGAUCCAGCACAGGCCUGGAGAGGACUAGAUCAUCAAUUGAAAAUGCAUGAUUUGAACACUGAUCAAGAAAAUCUUGUUGGGACCCAUGAUGCCCCCAUCAGAUGUAUUGAAUACUGUCCGGAAGUGAACGUGAUGGUUACUGGAAGUUGGGAUCAGACAGUUAAAUUGUGGGAUCCCAGAAAUCCUUGUAAUGCCAGGACCUUCUCUCAGCCUGAAAAGGUAGAUACCUUCUCAGUGCCUGGAGACCAGCUGAUUGUGAGAACAGCGGGCUGCAGAGUGUUGGUGUGGGGCUUAUGGAACAUGGAUUACGUGCAGCAGAGCAGGGAGUCCAGCCUGAAAUACCAGACUCACUGCAUAUAAGCGUUUCCAAACAAGCAGAGUUGUGUAUUAAGCUCUAUAGAAGGCGGAGUGGCAGUUGAAUACUUGGCCCAAGCCCUGAGGUACAGAAGAAAUAUGCCUUCAAAUGUCACAGACUAAAAGAAAAUAAUAUUGAGCAGGUUUACCCAGUCAAUGCCAUUUCUUUCCAGAAUAUCCAUAAUACAUUUGCCAUAGGUGGUUCUGAUGGCUUUGUAAAUAUUUGGAAUCCAUUUAACAAAAAGCAACUGUGCCAGUUCCAUUGGUACCCCAUAAGCAUUGCAUCACUUGCCUUCAGUAAUGAUGGGACUACGCUUGCAAUAGCAUCAUCAUAUAUUAUGAAAUGGAUGACACGGAACAUCCUGAAGAUGGUAUCUUCAUUCACCAAGUGACAGAGGCAGAAACAAAACCCAAGUGCACCUAA